GACGAACGCUGGCGGCGUGCCUAAUACAUGCAAGUCGAACGCUUCUUUCCUCCCGAGUGCUUGCACUCAAUUGGAAAGAGGAGUGGCGGACGGGUGAGUAACACGUGGGUAACCUACCCAUCAGAGGGGGAUAACACUUGGAAACAGGUGCAAAUACCGACUAACAGUUUAUGCCGCAUGGCAUAAGAGUGAAAGGCGCUUUCGGGUGUCGCUGAUGGAUGGACCCGCGGUGCAUUAGCUAGUUGGUGAGGUAACGGCUCACCAAGGCCACGAUGCAUAGCCGACCUGAGAGGGUGAUCGGCCACACUGGGACUGAGACACGGCCCAGACUCCUACGGGAGGCAGCAGUAGGGAAUCUUCGGCAGUGGACGGAAGUCUGACCGAGCAACGCCGCGUGAGUGAAGAAGGUUUUCGGAUCGUAAAACUCUGUUGUUAGAGAAGAACAAGGACGUUAGUAACUGAACGUCCCCUGACGGUAUCUAACCAGAAAGCCACGGCUAACUACGUGCCAGCAGCCGCCGUAA
rnacentral:rRNA from 1 species